rnacentral:lncRNA from 1 species
GUAUUUUUGUUUCAAUGAAGAAGUUUAAGAAGAAUAUAAAGGCUGAAGACUAAUGAUAUGCUAUUCUUUGUACAUGAAAAUGGCAGUCCUGACCUGCCAUAAGUCUGGGCACUUAUGGCUGUGAUAGAUUUUUCUGGGUCCGUCUGCCUUUCCUUCCAGGCACCCCAGGCUUCUCAGGACAAACAGCGUAAUCAGUGACCUCAGAACAGAGCAACGCUAAUGAGGAUGACCCUGACCCCAGGAGAAGAGUGUUCUGACCCUCUGACCCAAAUAAAAAUAGAAAAGCUUGGGCAGUACAUUUAAGAGUAACUUUGGGAUUAAUUAUAUGAGUAUAAAGAUAAAUGAGAAAAUAAAUUCUACUCACAAGUAGGAAGACUUAGAUAAUUGUGUAAUAUUUGAAACAUAAAACUUAAACUGAAAACUAUUACACUGGUAAAUUGAAUUACAUUAUCAUUCCUUUUAACUAACAUCAGAAUUACCUUUCCUUUAAUGUUUCCUUAGUUAAUAAGAACCAAAUCUUAUUAUAAUAAUUAAAGCUACUAGAAAAUGCUUUAAGCCUUUUUCUUUUUCAAAAAUGCAUUUAUUAGGUCAAUUUGAAGAAUAUACUAAAAUUGUACUUUCUUUAGAAAUUUUGAAAUACCAUUUUUAUCAAUUGAUGUAUAUUUAGAUUAUAACUGAGUAGUAUCAAAGAAUUCUUUUUCACUAGAUGUUAUGAAGACCCACUUUAAUCUGUAAUUAGGCACCUACCAUGCAGCUUAUCUCUAUUAAUGCUGGUAAUUCUGAAUUCCUAUCUUUAAUUUGUAUUACUACAAAGCUUGCAUAAUAAAUUCAUUAAUACAUUAAUUAUUUGAUGAUGCAUGAAAGGUGUAUUAAUGGCAGAAAUUGAAAAAGUGAUAUACCUAGAUACAAAUUAAGGAAAAACAUACAGAAUAAAGUUAUAGUUCAGAUUUGUUUUUACUUUGGUAAUAGGUAAGGUUAAUUUUCAUGAUAAAUCAUAAGCAUUUACAUGCAACAUAUUUUUUGGCCAUUGAAAUAAAGGGAGCUGUGAGUUGGUCUGAGGGGAGAAAACAUGAUUUGUAUUUUAUUCUUUUAGAAAAUAAAACAAGCCACGCACGGUGGCCCACACCUGAACCCCAGCACUUUGGGAGGCCAAGCACAAGCUUCCUUGGAGGAUACAGAUAAAGAAAAAAAUGUUCUUCAUGACCUAGAAGAAGAAAUACAUCUUCUCUUAAUAAAUCCCAUCUGAAAUCAUGUAGGGGAAGGAAAGAGGGAACAACAGUUAACAUUUAUCACUUGUAAUGUUUCAUUUGCUAAACUCUUCUUGGAACCUGAAAGAUGGUUUAUUUUCAGCCUGAAGGAGAUUUCAGAUAAAAUGUGCGGGUCUGAGAAAAAGAGUUUUGGAUAACUGUAUGAGAAUCUGUGCAAGGGGAUAUUGAAAUGUGUGUGGAAGCUGCAUGCUCUGCCAGUCUUCAUUCUAAGCUCUCUGAAGAUAGAAUAGUCUUAUGUUAAUUGGUGUAUCCCUAGCACUUAGCAUGGUUUUGGGCAUAUAAUAGAUAUUCAGUAAGCAUACCUUGAAAUACUUUGAGCUUCAAAUGGCACUCUAAUUAAGACACCCUGAAUUUUUCCAAUACUUAAUGUGCUGAACAAAAAGAACAAUCAGCAUAAAUUAGGCAUUAAAAGAGGGUCUCUGUUGCAUACCACUAAUUUUUGUGCCUACUGUGAAAGUUACUCUUUGUGAUAUGCAGUAGAGAAUGCUGUUGAAGUCGGUUCAAAAAUUGAAAUUGUUAAGCAAAUAGGUAAAGGCAGGCAGAGUGCAAUGGUUUAUGCCUGUAAUUCCACUUCUUUGGAAGGCCGAGGUGAGAGGAUAACUUGAGGCCUCCCAAAGCAGUGGGAUUACAGGAAUAAACCUGUAAUCCCAGAAGUUCAAUAU